UACGGAGGGUGCAAGCAUUAAUCGGAAUUAUUGGGCGUAAAGGGCGCGUAGGCGGAUAUAUAAGUCAGAUGUGAAAUUCCGGGGCUCAAUUCCGGAGCUGCAUUUGAAACUAUAUGUCUUGAGGAUUGGCGGAGAGAACGGAAUUCCACGUGUAGCGGUGAAAUGCGUAGAUAUGUGGAAGAACACCUGUGGCGAAAGCGGUUCUCUAGCUUAUACCUGACGCUGAGGCGCGAGAGCAAGGGGAUCAAAC
rnacentral:rRNA from 1 species